rnacentral:rRNA from 1 species
CCCUUAGAUGUUCUGGGCGGCCCGCGCACUACACUGGCACUCUCAAUCAGAGCCUGGAUCUAACACUUUGGGGUAUUCUAUGAAGUGGUGUCGUGACUGGGAUUAACCCUUGCAAUUAUUGGUUACGAACGAGGAAUUCCUUGUAAUCGCGGUUUAUCAGCCCGCGUUGAAUGCGUCCCUGCCCUUUGUACACACCGCCCGUCGCUCCUACCGAUGGAUCGUCCGGUGAAGCUCAUGGAGGGGCGGUUGUCUCAGCUGCCGUUGAAGUGAAAUGGACCUCACGAUCUAGAGGAAGGAGAAGUCGUAACA